rnacentral:rRNA from 1 species
AUUGAACGCUGGCGGCAGGCCUAACACAUGCAAGUCGAACGAGUGGCGGACGGGUGCGUAAUGUCUGGGAAACUGCCUGAUGGAGGGGGAUAACUACUGGAAACGGUAGCUAAUCCCGCAUACAAUCAGCUGUUCCCAGAUGGGAUUAGCUUGUUGGUGGGGUAACGGCUCACCAAGGCGACGAUCCCUAGCUGGUCUGAGAGGGUGACCAGCCACAAUGGAACUGAGACACGGUCCAGACUCCUACGGGAGGCAGCAGUGGGGAAUAUUGCACAAUGGGCGCUAGCCUGAUGCAGCCAUGCCGCGUGUAUGAAGAAGGCCUUCGGGUUGUAAAGUACUGUCAGCGGGGAGGCGUUACCCGCAGAAGAAGCACCGGCUAACUCCGUGCCAGCAGCCGCGGUAAUUC